rnacentral:lncRNA from 1 species
CCGGAUGAUGGUGGCAGCGGCUCCCUGUUAGCAGGCAUUUGCUGCCUCACAGGAGGUGGUGGGCACUGUGCCCGUCCGUGUCGGUCUCCCGGGCGCUCGGCCACCGCUCCACCCCCUUUUCUACGACAUGGAGCCAGAGCCGGCGGCACCGAAGAAUCCCCGGCCGCGGAGACGAAGCCGCCGGGCCUCUGGGCUCAGCGCGGACUGCGCCGCCAGUCCUUCGGGUGACACCCCCAGGCCAGGACCGCCGGAUGUCAGAUACUCCCUUCGGAGGGGUAGCUCCUUUACUUUUUUAACACCUGGCCCCCACUGGGACUUCACCUUGAAAAGAAAACGAAGAGAGAAAGAUGAUGAUGUUGUGAGCCUUAACAGCCUUGAUCUGAAGGUAA